rnacentral:lncRNA from 1 species
GAGAGCGCGGUGGAGGCCGCGCAGUGCGCUUCCAAUUGGGACUGAGCAAAUGGAGGAAAAGGAAACCGCCUUUCAGUUCAACCGACUCACUGCAUGAUAUAUUGGCCUUUCUGGGUCUUUGGUGGCUAUACUCGUUUGGCUUUUCUCCUUCCCAGCUUGGAGGCUGCUUUAUCCAAAUGCUUUCUUCAGUCCUCAACUUGGCGUUUCAACCCGAAUCCGCCUUUUCUUCCAUCUUAGAUCUGCCUUCUUAUGUGUUUCUCCAGCUCUUCGUUUAAAACUCCUUCAAAUCGUAUUUCAGUUUUGACUGGUAUAGCAUACAUUGGCAACUGUUACACGCAGCGGCUCUUUUCCUCAUAAUACCGUAUUUGGUUUAAUUUGUGUAAGUCCUGCCUUGCGAAUUGGAUUUUAAGUUCGAGAAGGGCAAGGGCAGAACCGUUCUUUUGUCUGUUCCACACCCCGGGUGCGGGGCCUGGGAAGUAGAGGCUUUGCUUACUACUCCAUACUGCAAACCUUAGUGUACCUGCCUUUGCAGGGCAGCUAUUCUCAUGCUCUUAAUAACCCUGAAUAAACCUCAGAAUUGCA